rnacentral:sRNA from 1 species
AUUCCUCUGGGGCCUGCGAGCCCGCCAUGAGACCAGCAAGAUGAGGGUCCUGAGAUUCAUCGCCCAGAAUCAGAACCGAGAUCCCCGGGAAUGGAAGGCUCAUUUCUUGGAGGCUGUGGAUGAUGCUUUCAAGACAAUGGAUGUGGAUAUGGCCGAGGAACAUGCCAGGGCCCAGAUGAGGGCCCAGAUGAAUAUCGGGGAUGAAGCGCUGAUUGGACGGUGGAGCUGGGAUGACAUACAAGUCGAGCUCCUGACCUGGGAUGAGGACGGAGAUUUUGGCGAUGCCUGGGCCAGGAUCCCCUUUGCUUUCUGGGCCAGAUACCAUCAGUACAUUCUGAAUAGCAACCGUGCCAACAGGAGGGCCACCUUCUUCUCCUGGAUCCAGCACCGUUGACGAACUGCAGCGAUCUUACUGGCCAAGCCAGAGCGCCUCCUCUCAGAUUCCUUCUCGACACAGCACCCUAGGCGGCUUCUUCCUGUCAGUCGGAGGUGGCAUGCAAGAUGAAGCUCUC